rnacentral:rRNA from 1 species
UAGGGAAUAUUGGACAAUGGGUGAGAGCCUGAUCCAGCCAUGCCGCGUGCAGGAAGAAGGCGUUAUGCGUUGUAAACUGCUUUUUGCCAGGGGAUAAAAAGACUCUGCGGAGUUUAUUGAAGGUACCUGGUGAAUAAGCCACGGCUAACUACGUGCCAGCAGCCGCGGUAAUACGUAGGUGGCAAGCGUUGUCCGGAUUUAUUGGGUUUAAAGGGUGCGUAGGCGGCCCUGUAAGUCAGUGCUGAAAUAUCCCGGCUUAACCGGGAGGGUGGCAUUGAUACUGCAGGGCUUGAGUACAGAUGAAGUAGGCGGAAUUGACGGUGUAGCGGUGAAAUGCAUAGAUAUCGUCAAGAACACCGAUAGCGAAGGCAGCUUACUAAGCUGUAACUGACGCUGAGGCACGAAAGUGUGGGGAUCAAACAGGAUUAGAUACCCCCGUAGUCCCUGAGCGGGCUGGCAAGGCGCAU